ensembl:lncRNA
AUGCCUAGAUCCAGCGGUGUGGGAUUUCGAAUCUGUUCCCCAGCCACCAUGGAGGAACGGAGAGGGAGAUUCCGGAACUUAACCACCCUUCGUCAAAGGGGGAGUGAGGUGGGUGGCCUGGCGCAAUUGUUUUGGACCAUGGCGGUCGGGAUGGGUUAUAAUGAUGCAGCACUGAAGGACUUUUUUAACAACUGUCUGGAUGACCCUUUACCUCAAUGGGAGAUGAAGGGGCUGGAGAUCCUAGACUUUUGGGGGUUUACCCAUUACCUGUGCCAUCGUGCUCAAUGGGAUACUUCGACCACACCUGUGUCUCCAGAGAAGAGGGCCGCCAGCCCAGCGCCACAGCACAAGAUGGCCGCCAACCCAGCGCCACAGCACAAGAUGGCCGCCAGCCCGGCGCCACAGCACAAGAUGGCCGCCAGUUCAGCACCACAGCACAAGAUGGCCACCAGCCCAGCACCACAGCACAAGAGGGUCGAAUCUACACCUGUGUUGGCAGACAAGAUGGUUGACUCAACGCCUGAGUCUUCCGUCAAGGAGCCACCGGCACGUCAUCAUAGAGGCCGCAGGAGGAGGAGACAGGCGUCAGCCGUUCCUCAAAGCCAGGAGGACGUUCCCGAGCAGGCCGCUGCCGUCCAGGAGGACGUUCCCGAGCAGGCCGCUGCCGUCCAGGAGGACGUGUCCAAGGUUCCCGAGGUGGUGCCCGAUCCCGAGGCCGUUCCCGAGGCGGUGCCCGAUGUUGUUCCCGAUGCCGAGGCGGUGCCCGAUGUUGUUUCUGAUGCCGAGGCGGUGCCCGAUGCCGAGGCGGUGCCCGAUGCCGAGGCGGUGCCCGAUGCCGAGGCGGUCCCCGAUGCCGAGGCGGUGCCCGAUGCCGAGGCGGUGCCCGAGGCGGUCCCCGAUGCCGAGGCGGUGCCCGAUGCCGAGGCGGUGCCCGAGGCGGUUCCCGAUGCAGAGGCGGUGCCCGAUGCCGAGGCGGUGCCCGAGGCGGUUCCCGAUGCAGAGGCGGUGCCCGAUGCCGAGGCGGUGCCCGAGGCGGUUCCCGAUGCAAUGCCCGAUGCCGAGGCGGUGCCCGAUGCCGAGGCGGUGCCCGAUGCAAUGCCCGAUGCCGAGGCGGUCCCCGAUGCCGAGGCGGUGCCCGAUGCCGAGGGCGUGCCCGAUGCCGAGGCGGUGCCCGAGGCGGUUCCCGAUGCGGUGCCCGAUGCCGAGGCGGUGCCCGAUGCCGAGGCGGUUCCCGAUGCGGUGGCCGAGGCGGUGCCCGAUGCCGAGGCGGUGCCCGAGGCGGUUCCCGAUGCAAUGUCCGAUGCCGAGGCGGUCCCCGAUGCCGAGGCGGUGCCAGAGACGGUUCCCGAUGUAAUGCCCGAGACCGAGGCUGUGCCCGAUGCCGAGGCGGUGCCCGAUGCCGUUCCGGAGGUCGAGGCAGUGACCGAUGCGCAGGCCGAGGUCGUUCCCGAGGCGGUGUCCUUGUCCAAGGCCGUUCCUGAGGCCAUUCCCGAGGCGGUGCCCGAUGCCGAGGUCGUUCCCGAGGCGGUGCCCGAUGCGGAGGCCGUUCCUGAGACCGUUCCCGAGGCGGUGCCCGAUGCCGAGACGGUGCCAGAGACGGUUCCCGAUGUAAUGCCCGAGACCGAGGCUGUUCCGGAGGUCGAGGCGGUGCCCGAUGUUGUUCCCGAUGCCGAGGCGGUGCCCGAUGUUGUUUCCGAUGCCGAGGCUGUUCCGGAGGUCGAGGCGGUGCCCGAUGUUGUUCCGCAGGUCGAGGCGGUGCCCGAGGCGGUGCCCGAUGCCGAGGCUGUGCCCGAUGCCGAGCCCGAGGCCGUUUCCGAGGCGGUGCCCGAUGCCGAGCCCGAGGCCGUUCCCGAGGCGGUGCCCUUGUCCAAUGCCGUUCCUGAGGCCAUUCCUGAGGCCGUUCCUGAGACCGUUCCCGAGGCGGUGCCCGAUGCCAAGGUCGUUCCCGAGGCUGUGCCCGAUGCCGAGGCCGUUCCCGAGACCGUUCCCGAGGCGGUGCCCGAUGCCGAGGUUCCCGAGGCGGUGUCCUUGUCCGAUGCCGUUCCUGAGGCCAUUCCCGAGGCGGUGCCCGAUGCUGUUCCGGAGGCCGAUGCGGGGCCCGAGAUGGUUCCGGAGGCGAUACCCGUGUCCAAGGCCGUUCCCGAGGCGGUGCCCUUGUCUGAGGCCGUUCCCGAUGCCGUUCCCAAUGCCGUGACCUGGCCAUCGCCACAGCCUGCUCCUUACUGGCUCCCCGAUUGGCAGGUUCCGUUCGGGCCACUCAAAUGGCGAAUUCCUCCCUGGCCGUCUGCACAACGAGAAUGGACUGAUCCACCGUGGCCACCUGAACUGCCUGGUCCCUCGUGGUCCCCUGAACUUUCGGGUCCACCGUGGCCACCUGAACUGACCGAGCCAACUGGGCUACCAGGGGAGCCAUCGCUGCCGGUCCCAGUUCCCCUACACGGGCCUGGCCCGCCAUCCCUCCCCCUGUUCUGCCUCCACCAGUCCACCUCCCUCCUGGUCUCUUUGUUUUUUUUGGUUAUUUUGUUCUGAGGAGCAUCUGGAAGCUGCUCCUUAGAGGGGGGGUAGUGUCACGGUGUCUGUUCUGUGUCUCCCUGGGUGGCCACUAGAGGUCUCACUUCCCCUUAUCGUCACCCCACCUUAGAACUGCAUUUCCCAUAGUCUUGUCUGUUUCAUCACUGCUCAUUGCACUCAGCUGUCCGUGGUUACUAAUCAUUGCACUCAGCCAAUUCCCCGUUAGCAUUGUCAUUUCUCUGUGUAUAAAUACCCCGGUUGUUCUGUCAUUGUCACGGAGUCCUUGUUGAAUGUCACCCUGCUUUUUCCUGGUUCCCUCGUGAGUGUUUGUGUUUCGUGUUUUGGACGGUUUAUGUUUGGUUUUGACCCCUGCCUGGCUGGAUUUAUGAUUUUGGAUUGCCCCUAAUAAAGACUUACUGCAAUUGGAUCUACCUGUCUGUGUGCGUUUCGUGACAAUUACGUCAGAUUGAGUUAGACCUAUCAGACUGCGUCAACAGAGUCCCAUAACAGAACUCUGUAUAUGAAUCCUUAAAGCUACAAAAGUUAUUGAUUUCCUCUUUUUUCUUUUAUUCUUUGAUGAACAGACAUCAUAGCAGCUGGGUUAUUAGGUUUUUUGGCUGCUAUUAAUUUGAGCUGCCGCUGGUGAAUGUGAUUCAAAUCUAACACGCUUGCUCGUAGUUUUCAUUCAAGCUUGUCACCAUCUACAGCAUGUGCUGCAGUAUUUGUGUGUGCUAUUGAAGAGCAUGAGCUAUGAGCACAGUAUACCGGCUGACAGGACAGGAAAAUUUGUUAUUACUGACAUAUGACCUGACAACAUCUCAUCUGACCGCAGUUCACUGAUGUUGAAGCUCCUCAUCACCUUUUCUGCGCAUGUUUGACUAGCGCCUUUGCUGAGGCAAAGUAGUGCGCCUCUGAAAAGUCUUCUGUUUGCUGUGCUUGUAAAGAUGUUCUAUGUCUAAAUAAACACAAAUCUUGUCAAGAAAAGAGACAGGAGCAGCAGUUGUGAGUGUGGUGACCAACCCUAGCCCCGCCCCUGCGUUAACUGCAUCAUAUAUUUUUAACACCGUUAAACU